GAUGAACGCUGGCGGUAUGCUUAACACAUGCAAGUCGAACGGACUCUUCGGAGUUAGUGGCGGACGGGUGAGUAACGCGUGAGAAUCUGGCUUUGGGUUCGGGACAACCACUGGAAACGGUGGCUAAUACCGGAUGUGCCGAGAGGUAAAAGAGAAAUUGCCUGAAGAUGAGCUCGCGUCUGAUUAGCUAGUUGGUGAGGUAAAGGCUCACCAAGGCAGCGAUCAGUAGCUGGUCUGAGAGGAUGACCAGCCACACUGGGACUGAGACACGGCCCAGACUCCUACGGGAGGCCGCAGUGGGGAAUUUUCCGCAAUGGGCGAAAGCCUGACGGAGCAAUACCGCGUGAGGGAAGAAGGCUCUUGGGUUGUAAACCUCUUUUCUUAGGGAAGAACAAAAUGACGGUACCUAAGGAAUCAGCAUCGGCUAACUCCGUG
rnacentral:rRNA from 1 species